GGAAGGAUCAUUACUGAACAACGCGCGCGCCUCUGGCGGGUGCGUGUGCACACCCAUUCACGAGGGUUGUGUUUGUCCACCUCUUGUGCCUCCUUGUGGUGGACCAUGCUCCGGAUGCUGUUCCGCGUCACCUGGCGGCCUGUUGCCGCUGGGAGGGCUGGUCUACUGUGCCUCUCACCAAACAAACCUGUCGUCCUAUUAUGAUGGUUGGCAUCCUUUCAUCGGUUGCCCUUGUAUAAUAAAUAUAACUUUCAACAACGGAUCUCUUGGCUCUCGCAUCGAUGAAGAACGCAGCGAAAUGCGAUAAGUAAUGUGAAUUGCAGAAUUCAGUGAAUCAUCGAAUCUUUGAACGCACCUUGCGCUCCUCGGCAUUCCGAGGAGCAUGCCUGUUUGAGUGUCGUUGAAUUCUCAAACCAGUUCCCGCUUGUUGGUGGGAUUGGGUUUGGAUCGGUGGAGGAUGCAUUGGCCACCCCAACCAGGGUGAGUUUCCCUUUGCUCCUCUGAAAUGGAUUGGCGUUUGAAGUGUCGUGACUUCCUCAGAACCCUCCCGAUCUUUCUUCGGGGAAGGAGGUAGUAAGACGCAGGGCACUGGUCUUCUGCCGUCCGGAAAGUGGGUUUGGACUCGGUGGUCCAGGUCUGGCGGGUGGUUUCGUGGUGGUGAAUCAAUCACUCACUCCCUUGAAGCCAUCUGCUCCUCCGAAAUGCAGUGGUCACGACACAGGCGCGCACCCGUUGUCGGUAUGAUACGUCUUACCUGCUUUCAAUGGGUGCUGCACCGCACACUCUCUCACGAUUUGACCUCAAAUCAGGCAGGACUACCCGCUGAACUUAAGCAUAUCAAUAAGCGGAGGAAAAGAAACUAACGAGGAUUCCCCUAGUAACUGCGAGUGAAGCGGGAAAAGCUCAAAUUUAAAAUCUGGUGGCCCUCUGGCCAUCCGAGUUGUAAGCUAGAGAAGCGCCGUCCGCGCUGGGGCCAUGUACAAGUCUCCUGGAACGGAGCGUCAUAGAGGGUGAGAAUCCCGUCUCUGACAUGGACCUCCCGGGGCACCGCGAUCGCGCUCUCAAAGAGUCGAGUUGUUUGGGAAUGCAGCUCCAAACGGGUGGUAAACUCCAUCUAAAGCUAAACAUUGGCGAGAGACCGAUAGCGAACAAGUACCGUGAGGGAAAGAUGAAAAGAACUUUGGAAAGAGAGUUAAACAGUACGUGAAAUUGUUGAAAGGGAAACGCUUGAAGUCAGUCGCGUCGGCUUGGGGUCAGCCUCGCAGCUGCGAGGUGCACUCCCCGGUCGACGGGUCAGCACCAGUUUCGACCGUUGGAGAAAGGUCGGGGGAAUGUGGCAUCCUCGGAUGUGUUUAUAGCCCUCGAUCGCAUGCAUCGGUUGGGAUUGAGGAACUCAGCGCACCGCAAGGCCGGGUUUCAAACCACGUCUGCGCUCAGGAUGCUGGCACAAUGGCUUUAAUCGACCCGUCUUGAAACACGGACCAAGGAGUCUAACAUGCCUGCGAGUGUUUGGGUGGAAAACCCAUGCGCGUAAUGAAAGUGAAAGUUGAGAUCUCCGUCGUGGAGAGCAUCGACGCCCGGACCAGACCUUCUGUGACGGAUCCGCGGUAGAGCAUGCACGUUGGGACCCGAAAGAUGGUGAACUAUGCCUGAAUAGGGUGAAGCCAGAGGAAACUCUGGUGGAGGCUCGUAGCGAUUCUGACGUGCAAAUCGAUCGUCGAAUUUGGGUAUAGGGGCGAAAGACUAAUCGAACCAUCUAGUAGCUGGUUCCUGC
rnacentral:misc_RNA from 1 species